rnacentral:rRNA from 1 species
UACAGAGGGGGGCAAGCGUUGUUCGGAAUUACUGGGCGUAAAGGGCUCGUAGGCGGCCAACUAAGUCAGACGUGAAAUCCCUCGGCUUAACCGGGGAACUGCGUCUGAUACUGGAUGGCUUGAGUUCGGGAGAGGGAUGCGGAAUUCCAGGUGUAGCGGUGAAAUGCGUAGAUAUCUGGAGGAACACCGGUGGCGAAGGCGGGUCUCUGGGCCGAUACUGACGCUGAGGAGCGAAAGCGUGGGGGAGCGAACAGG